rnacentral:rRNA from 1 species
GAUGAACGCUGGCGGCGUGCCUAAUACAUGCAAGUCGAGCGAACGGACGAGAAGCUUGCUUCUCUGAUGUUAGCGGCGGACGGGUGAGUAACACGUGGAUAACCUACCUAUAAGACUGGGAUAACUUCGGGAAACCGUAGCUAAUACCGGAUAAUAUUUUGAACCGCAUGGUUCAAAAGUGAAAGACGGUCUUGCUGUCACUUAUAGAUGGAUCCGCGCUGCAUUAGCUAGUUGGUAAGGUAACGGCUUACCAAGGCAACGAUGCAUAGCCGACCUGAGAGGGUGAUCGGCCACACUGGAACUAAGACACGGUCCAGACUCCUACGGGAGGCAGCAGUAGGGAAUCUUCCGCAAAGGGCGAAAGCCUGACGGAGCAACGCCGCGUGAGUGAUGAAGGUCUUCGGAUCGUAAAACUCUGUUAUUAGGGAAGAACAUAUGUGUAAGUAACUGUGCACAUCUUGACGGUACCUAAUCAGAAAGCCACGGCUAACUACGUG